GAUGAACGCUGGCGGCAUGCUUUACACAUGCAAGUCGAACGGUAACAGGCCGCAAGGUGCUGACGAGUGGCGAACGGGUGAGUAAUGCAUCGGAACGUGCCCAGUCGUGGGGGAUAACGCAGCGAAAGCUGUGCUAAUACCGCAUACGAUCUGUGGAUGAAAGCGGGGGACCGAAAGGCCUCGCGCGAUUUGAACGGCCGAUGUCAGAUUAGGUAGUUGGUGGGGUAAAAGCUCACCAAGCCGACGAUCUGUAGCUGGUCUGAGAGGACGACCAGCCACACUGGGACUGAGACACGGCCCAGACUCCUACGGGAGGCAGCAGUGGGGAAUUUUGGACAAUGGGCGCAAGCCUGAUCCAGCAAUGCCGCGUGCAGGAAGAAGGCCUUCGGGUUGUAAACUGCUUUUGUACGGAGCGAAAAGGCUCUCUCUAAUACAGGGGGCUCAUGACGGUACCGUAAGAAUAAGCACCGGCUAACUACGUGCCAGCCGCCGCAGUAA
rnacentral:rRNA from 1 species